AAUAUAUUUUAAAUAAAUCUCAAUCAAGUCCUAAUUCAAUCUUAAUUAAAAUUCUAAUAAAUUUUAAUUAAAUUCUAAAUUAAAUCCUAAAUCCUAAUUAAAUCCUAAAUCCUAAUCAAAUCCUAAAUCCUAAAUCAAAUCCUAAAUAAAUCCUAUACUAUAAAUAAAAUUCUAAAAAAAUCCUAAAUCCUAAAUUAAAUCUUAGAUAAAUCCUAAAUCCUAAAUCAAAUCCUAAAAAAAUCCUAAAUCCUAAACCAAAUCCUAGAAAAAUCUUAAAUCUUAAAUCAAAUCCUAAAUAAAUCUUAAAUCUUCAAUCUUAAAUCAAAACCUAGACAAAUCUUAAAUCCUAGUCUAAUCUUAAAUUCUAACUAAACUUUAACCA
rnacentral:lncRNA from 1 species